GCUGCACAAAACAUACAGGUCUUCAAGAACUUAGAAAGCAAUACAGCUCUUCAGGAAUUUGGAAAUAUGGAUAAUGAUGAUAUUGUUCAGGGGGAUGCCUUAAAGAAAACCAGAAUACUCACAGAAUAUAAAACAUCUUUCCACACAGAAGUGAAGUGCAACACUCUGUCCAUGAAAACCCUGAGUAUGAGGCAACUUCCAGCAUCUUUUCCUAGGAGAUACAGACAUGAUUGUUAUUUUCUUAAAAGCAGUCAAGUCUGCAAAACUAUACAUUUGAAUAAAAAAAAAGUUACUGGUACCUAGAGCAG